rnacentral:rRNA from 1 species
CCUGGCUCAGGAUGAACGCUAGCGGCAGGCUUAACACAUGCAAGUCGAGGGGCAUCGGGAGUAGCAAUACUUGCCGGCGACCGGCGCAAGGGUGCGUAACGCGUGAGCAACAUGCCCGUAUCAGGGGGAUAAUCCAUGGAAACGUGGUCUAAUACCCCAUAGUAAUUAUGUAAGGCAUCUUAUAUAAUUUAAAGCUUUGGUGGAUACGGAUUGGCUCGCGUGACAUUAGCUGGAUGGUAAGGUAACGGCUUACCAUGGCUACGAUGUCUAGGGGUUCUGAGAGGAAGGUCCCCCCACACUGGAACUGAGACACGGUCCAGACUCCUACGGGAGGCAGCAGUGAGGAAUAUUGGACAAUGGAUGGAAAUCUGAUCCAGCCAUGCCGCGUGCAGGAAAGACGGCCCUAUGGGUUGUAAACUGCUUUUGUAUGGGAGCAAUAAGGGCUACGUGUAGUCCGAUGAGAGUACCAUACGAAUAAGCACCGGCUAACUCCGUGCCAGCAGCGGC